CACUCCUCUUAGAAAAAACUGCAUGAAAGAGCAAAAAUCUGAUGGUGAUAAUCCUCUGGGAAAAGCUGAAGAUGAGUCUGAAACAUCAUGGUUUUACAUUGGAUUAGGGGUUGGAUUUGCACUAGGCUUUUGGGGAGUUUGUGUUGCUCUUUUCUUCAAAAAGACUUGGAGGCAUGCUUAUUUCUGGUUUGUCUAUGACAUGAAAGAUCAGGCCUAUGUGACUACAGUGCUGAAGGUGAACUGGAUCUGCAAAAAGUUUAAGAAGCUGACAUUUUGGUAGCAAAAGGCAUCGAUUCUUCAAUCAAGUAGCUCUGGUCCAUGCUUUCGAAGAGGCCACAAAGAUUAGUUGGCAGAGCAAUUGUGACAAGUAUCAUUACCUCCUGAUCUUGUUCUAAAAUGUGCUUAAAUAAAAUGCUAAGGAUUAUGAUUCCAGCCUAAGACUGUUCGAAUUAUUUAUGUAUGUAGUGGAAGCCAUUUCAGUUUGCACCAAAAAGAAUAGAACAUAAGGUUUGUUGUUUAAUUCUUUACUGUUAGAUUUUUCUGAUAAAAGUUGGAUUCAGUGCUUUUCCAAAUUCACUGUCCUCAACAUUAAAACACACCAAGACAGAAAAGACAGAGUUAUGUGCUA